ACGGGUGAGUAACGCGUGGGAAUCUACCCUAAAGCGGGGGAUAACCCGGGGAAACUCGGGCUAAUACCGCAUAAUCUCUACGGAGUAAAGGGGGCCUCUAUUUAUAAGCUCUCACUUUAGGAGGAGCCCGCGUCGGAUUAGCUAGUUGGUAGGGUAAAGGCCUACCAAGGCGAUGAUCCGUAGCUGGUCUGAGAAGAUGAACAGCCACACUGGGACUGAGACACGGCCCAGACUCCUACGGGAGGCAGCAGUGGGGAAUAUUGGACAAUGGGCGCAAGCCUGAUCCAGCAAUGCCGCGUGUGUGAAGAAGGCCUUUGGGUUGUAAAGCACUUUCGGUAGGGAGGAAACGUUACGUGUUAAUAUCACGUAAAAUUGACGUUACCUAUAUAAGAAGCACCGGCUAACUCUGUGCCAGCAGCCGCGGUAAGACAGAGGGUGCAAGCGUUAAUCGGAAUUAUUGGGCGUAAAGGGCCUGUAGGUGGUUGAUUAAGUCGGUUGUGAAAACCAUGGGCUUAACCUGUGGCUGUCAUCCGAGACUGAUCGACUAGAGUUGAGUAGAGGAGAGUGGAAUUUCCGGUG
rnacentral:rRNA from 1 species